rnacentral:rRNA from 1 species
UACGUAGGGUGCAAGCGUUGUCCGGAAUUAUUGGGCGUAAAGAGCUCGUAGGCGGUUUGUUGCGUCGGCUGUGAAAUCCCGAGGCUCAACCUCGGGUCUGCAGUCGAUACGGGGCAAACUAGAGUAUUGCAGGGGAGACUGGAAUUCCUGGUGUAGCGGUGAAAUGCGCAGAUAUCAGGAGGAACACCGGUGGCGAAGGCGGUUCUCUGGGCAUUACCUGACGUGAGGAGCGAAAGCAUGGGGUAGCGAAACAGG